CGGGAGUGUGGUCGCAGACGCAAUGGCCUUCCCCACAAUAAGUUAGUAGUGAGUACGGAUCACGCGAUGACGUUUAAGCAAAGCGCCGUAAUGCAACACCGUACCGCAAGGUAUUUUACCGUGCACAUCGGGUGCUGUAAAUACGACUCCGACCACAAGACACAUGUUACAUUCCUUUUUGCUCCUUCUUGCUGACGCAGAUGCACCUAAUUUCCUGACUUAGGACAUAAAAAUCUUCUGGAAAAUAACCAAAGGCAAGCACCGGUUUGUUGCAGUUUCACAAGAUGUACUUCCGUUUCUUCUGUCACCGCUUCUCCUCCUAAGUUUUCUGUCAUCUUCUCAUCUUCUCAUCUACAGAGCUACUACUCUCCACCAUCUUACGCUAACAAAAUGGAUUCCCGACGACGGGAGGCCUCCAGCCGCCUGCUUCCAGGUCCACGGGCUCAGUUGGGGCAGGAAGGAUGCGUCUUGGGAAGGACCCGGCAUAACGACCGCCCCCCGACCGCACUAAUCAUCGGCCACUAUAUGUUCCAGUAAAUUGUAACUCCAAAAGGCUAAUUCGAAAAAUUCCCGCCCUCAGCCAGAACAAAACACCAAAUUGGAAGGCAGCCGAAUUUUCGCCAUUCUUUGAGCAACCAUCGAAUCACCAAACCGUUCAAUUGUCGACAAAAGAUACAGAAAAACAUUCCCGCCGUCGACCUUUGACCAACAAAUUUCUCAACAUGUAUCGCCAGCAUACCGCCAUCGAGCAGCAAAUCGUAAAAAAGCGAGGAUUUCGUGAAAUGGCCAGCAAAUCGCAAAAAGACGACUCCCGCCAUCGUCGCCCUCAUCGUUCUUGGAAAGAUUACACAACCAUCACCCCGAUGUGCAGCCCGCCUCUUGUAUGAGCCAGGCUGCCAAAACGACAACCUCCAAUUCCGACUUUUGAGUCUUCUGUUACCGGUGGCACAAUCAGCAACCACCAACGGGCGGAAAUCGCCACGGACAGGAAAUCUCCCAUUUUCCCCUUGCCUCUCUU
rnacentral:lncRNA from 1 species